rnacentral:lncRNA from 1 species
CCCCGCUGGAAACUUGAUUUUGCGCUUUCCAGCCUCUAGAAUUAAUAUGUGAAAAACAUUUAAAUCAGAAAGUAAAUGACAGGAUGAUUUGCAAGACACAGGGAUGUAAAAUUAAAAAGCCUCUCGAGCUCCAAAGGGGGAUGCAUCAGGACGAUAAUUCCAAGAGUUCAAUGGUGAAUUUCCUUGGCUUCCACUGAGCUACCUGUUAACUUCAACAAGCACAGUGGCCUGGAGACUACAUGAUGGUGUAUCAGUGAUGGAUUUACAACUGCAAACAUCUGAAGCAGCAGUGCCACAUCCCUGCUACCUCCCUGCUUGUGCGUGUGUCCCUACAUUAUCCAAAAUAGGGGUGGGCUAAUGACGAUUGCAGGCUAACUCCAGCCCACCACUUGCUUCUAUAAAUAAAAUCUUAUUGUACACAAACGUAGCCAUUUAUUUAA